UCCGGAGGGUGCGAGCGUUGUUCGGAAUCACUGGGCGUAAAGCGCGUGUAGGCGGCCCACUAAGUCUGAUGUGAAAGCCCGGGGCUCACCCCCGGAAGUGCAUUGGAAACUGGUGGACUCGAGUCCCGGAGAGGAGAGUGGAAUUCCUGGUGUAGCGGUGAAAUGCGUAGAUAUCAGGAGGAACACCGGUGGCGAAGGCGGCUCUCUGGACGGUGACUGACGCUGAGACGCGAAAGCGUGGGGAGCAAACAGG
rnacentral:rRNA from 1 species